rnacentral:rRNA from 1 species
UGAGUUGCGAACGGGUGAGUAACGCGUAGGUAACCUGCCUGGUAGCGGGGGAUAACUAUUGGAAACGAUAGCUAAUACCGCAUAAUAUUAAUUAUUGCAUGAUAAUUAAUUGAAAGGUGCAAUUGCACCACUACCAGAUGGACCUGCGUUGUAUUAGCUAGUAGGUGAGGUAACGGCUCACCUAGGCGACGAUAGGUAGCCGGCACGGCCUACCAAGGCGAUGAUCGGUAGCUGGUUUGAGAGGGUGAUCGGUCACACUGGAACUGAGACACGGUCCCGACUCCUACGGGAGGCAGCAGUAGGGAAUCUUCGGCAAUGGACGGAAGUCUGACCGAGCAACGCCGCGUGAGUGAAGAAGGUUUUCGGAUCGUAAAGCUCUGUUGUAAGAGAAGAACGAGUGUGAGAGUGGAAAGUUCACACUGUGACGGUAUCUUACCAGAAAGGGACGGCUAAUUCGUGCCAGCAGCCGCGGUAAUACGUAGGUCCCAAGCGUUGUCCGGAUUUAUUGGGCGUAAAGCGAGCGCAGGCGGUUAGAUAAGUCUGAAGUUAAAGGCUGUGGCUUAACCAUAGUACGCUUUGGAAACUGUUUAACUUGAGUGCAAGAGGGAAGAGUGGAAUUCCAUGUGUAGCGGUGAAAUGCGUAGAGAUGUGGAGGAACACCGAUGGCGAAGGCAAUCCCCUGGACCUGCUGACGCUGAGCUGAGGCUCGAAAGCGUGGGGAGCAAACAGGAUUAGAUACCCUUAGUCCACGCCGUAAACGAUGACAUGUUAGCCGUCGGGCAGUAUACUUUCGCUGAAGCUAACGCAUUAAGCACUUGCCGGAGCUAACGCGUUAAACGCGCCACCUGGGAAGUACGAUCGCAAGAAUUUGAACUGGGAGUACGUUCGCAAGAACGAAAACUCUUGGAAAUUGACGGGGGCCGCACAA